GACGAACGCUGGCGGCGUGCUUAACACAUGCAAGUCGAACGAUGAAGCCUAGCUUGCUAGGUGGAUUAGUGGCGAACGGGUGAGUAAUACGUGAGUGACCUACCUUUGACUCUGGGAUAAGCCUGGGAAGCUGGGUCUAAUACCGGAUACGACCAAUCUCUGCAUGGGGUGUUGAUGGAAAGCGUUAUGGAGUGGUUUUAGAUGGGCUCACGGCCUAUCAGCUUGUUGGUGAGGUAAUGGCUUACCAAGGCGACGACGGGUAGCCGGCCUGAGAGGGUGACCGGCCACACUGGGACUGAGACACGGCCCAGACUCCUACGGGAGGCAGCAGUGGGGAAUAUUGCACAAUGGGCGCAAGCCUGAUGCAGCGACGCCGCGUGAGGGAUGACGGCCUUCGGGUUGUAAACCUCUGUUAGCAUCGAAGAAGCGAAAGUGACGGUAGGUGCAGAGAAAGCGCCGGCUAACUACGUGCCAGCAGCCGCGGUAAUACGUAAGGCGCGAGCGUUGUCCGGAAUUAUUGGGCGUAAAGAGCUUGUAGGCGGUUGGUCGCGUCUGCUGUGAAGGCCGGGGCUUAACUCCGGUUUUGCAGUGGGUACGGGCUAACUAGAGUGCAGUAGGGGAGACUGGAAUUCCUGGUGUAGCGGUGGAAUGCACAGAUAUCAGGAGGAACACCGAUGGCGAAGGCAGGUCUCUGGGCUGUAACUGACGCUGAGAAGCGAAAGCAUGGGGAGCGAACAGGAUUAGAUACCCUGGUAGUCCAUGCCGUAAACGUUGGGCACUAGGUGUGGGGGACAUUCCACGUUUUCCGCGCCGUAGCUAACGCAUUAAGUGCCCCGCCUGGGGAGUACGGCCGCAAGGCUAAAACUCAAAGGAAUUGACGGGGGCCCGCACAAGCGGCGGAGCAUGCGGAUUAAUUCGAUGCAACGCGAAGAACCUUACCAAGGCUUGACAUGCAUUAGAUCGCGUCAGAGAUGGCGUUUCCCUUCGGGGCUGGUGUACAGGUGGUGCAUGGUUGUCGUCAGCUCGUGUCGUGAGAUGUUGGGUUAAGUCCCGCAACGAGCGCAACCCUCGUUCUAUGUUGCCAGCGGUUCGGCCGGGGACUCAUAGGAGACUGCCGGGGUUAACUCGGAGGAAGGUGGGGAUGACGUCAAAUCAUCAUGCCCCUUAUGUCUUGGGCUUCACGCAUGCUACAAUGGCCGGUACAGAGGGUUGCGAUACUGUGAGGUGGAGCUAAUCCCUUAAAGCCGGUCUCAGUUCGGAUUGGGGUCUGCAACUCGACCCCAUGAAGUCGGAGUCGCUAGUAAUCGCAGAUCAGCAACGCUGCGGUGAAUACGUUCCCGGGCCU
rnacentral:rRNA from 1 species